GGAUGAACGCUGGCUACAGGCUUAACACAUGCAAGUCGAGGGGAAACGACGGGGAAGCUUGCUUCCCCGGGCGUCGACCGGCGCACGGGUGAGUAACGCGUAUCCAACCUGCCUCUGACUGAGGGAUAACCCGUCGAAAGUCGGCCUAAUACCUCAUGGCAUCGUCUGCGGGCAUCCAACGACGAUUAAAGAUUUCAUCGGUCAGGGAUGGGGAUGCGUCUGAUUAGCUAGUUGGCGGGGUAACGGCCCACCAAGGCGACGAUCAGUAGGGGUUCUGAGAGGAAGGUCCCCCACAUUGGAACUGAGACACGGUCCAAACUCCUACGGGAGGCAGCAGUGAGGAAUAUUGGUCAAUGGGCGAGAGCCUGAACCAGCCAAGUAGCGUGCAGGAUGACGGCCCUAUGGGUUGUAAACUGCUUUUCUGCGGGGAUAAAGUGAGGGACGUGUCCUUCAUUGCAGGUACCGCAUGAAUAAGGACCGGCUAAUUCCGUG
rnacentral:rRNA from 1 species